AUACUGCCGUGAAUACGUUCCCGGGCCUUGUACACACCGCCCGUCACACCAUGAGAGUUGGGAAUACCCGAAGCCUGUGAGCUAACUUUUAGAGGCAGNAGUCGAAGGUAGAAUCAAUGAUUGGGGUGAAGUCGUAACAAGGUAAC
rnacentral:rRNA from 1 species